rnacentral:rRNA from 1 species
GACGAACGCUGGCGGCGCGCUUAACACAUGCAAGUCGAACGAGAAUCCACCUGCUUGCAGGUGGAGGAAAGUGGCGAACGGGUGAGUAACACUUGGGAAUCUACCCUUCAGUUUGGGACAACAGCUCGAAAGGGCUGCUAAUACCGAAUACGCUCUUCGGAGGAAAGGCUUCGGCCGCUGAUUGAGGAGCCCAGGUCCGAUUAGCUUGUUGGCGGGGUAAUGGCCCACCAAGGCGAUGAUCGGUAGCUGGUCUGAGAGGAUGAUCAGCCACACUGGAACUGAGACACGGUCCAG